AUGUUUGCAAUGCUUCAGAAUAGAACAUUUGUUUUCAAUGGUUAAGAAUGGACCAAUUAGGAAAUGCCUAUGUAGCUUAUACAUUAUGAAACGCUGUUAAUGAAAAUUUGAAUAUUCAAACCUCUCACCAAUUAUUCCACAGAAGCAUGGAAAUGAUAUGAACUGAUGAAAAAGAUACUGGAGCUCCUUUAAAGAAUGCUAUCACACCAUAAGUGGAAGUACUGUGGUAGAAGAGAGACUAUAAAAUAUUAAUGGACUAUUGACCUGAGGUAGCAAAGGAAGAUAAAAGCAAAUUAUCUGAGUGCAUGAAGAAGCUGCCUGUCUCCACGGUGUGGAAAGAACUUCAAUAUAACAACAGUAGAAUAUUGUAUGAAUCAUGUUUCUGUCUUCAUGGCCUCGUUGGAGCUCAGAAACCAAUACACCAAAAUAUGACACUUUGAUGUGCUAAACUGAAGAAGCCUCAACAUCUCUCUGAUCUGAGCCUACGCUUCCUGUCUCUCAAUCCUGCCUCUUCCAAAGAACAGGAUGAAGUUGUUCUUGGAAGUUACCUUAUCUGUUAAAGUCUGGAUAGAACAAAAAAGAAAAUAAGUAUCUCUGGUCCCUUCUCUGUGCUGAAUUCAUAUUGCAGGAAGACUGAAGUCUAUCAACACACCUGAAGAGACUUUACUGACAAACCAGUGUUCUGCCAACCCAGCAGACUUUGUCCCAGGUGACUGUAUGUUCUUCAAGCCCUUUGACUCCCUCUAAAAAUUAUUUACUAUCCCCUAAAAUCAUCCACACUUUAUAUUUCCCUUUCCCUAAGAGAAGGGUAUAUAGCCAUCUGUUCCCUAUUGUGUGGUGUGGUAAUCAAUUUGUGAUUCUCUUGUACACAUCAAUAAAUUUGUAUCACUUUAUUGCAUGAAUCUAUCUUUUGUCGCUUACUUUUCAGUGAAACUUGAGAGGGUGAAGGAUCAAGUUUGCCCUUGGCCCGUACAGCCUUUUAUUGCCAAACCUAAGAAGUCCAGUGACUGACAAUGCCAUCUUAUUAUCAUUAAAAGUCUAGUAAUUGUGGC
rnacentral:lncRNA from 1 species